AAAAGAGAAGAGACAACCAACUUGCUAGUUACAGCAUCAGCACGCGCUCUGGAAAGACAGCGGAGAGUGGAAAGGCAGUUUGCCAGUUACAGCAGCGCGUCCCCUGAACGAUAACGCAGAAGUAGGUGAGAAGCCUGACGACGGAGACAGGGGUGAGAAGGUGAUGAAGCGUACUUCACGAGCAGUAACCGAAAAACAACUGGCAUUUGGAAAGUUUGAGAGAAAGCAUGUACACCAUCUUAAGAAGUAUGGAGAACUGACGGAAAACACACUGAAGAGAAAACAUGACCCUAAGACUCCCUCCACCAUCAAGCAGAGCACAUUACUGAAGACAGUGUCUCAAAAAUCCAUCGACAAAAGCUGUGGUGAAGUAUGUGGUCCAAGGGCUCCAACCAUGCGCUGUUGUAGAACAAGAACCGUUCAGAGAGUUUGUCCAGGAUCUGCAGCCUAACUCAAAGAUCUUAUCAAGGCCCACACUGCGCUCCAGGAUUGAUGAAGCCUCCAUGGAAAUGAAGAAGGUGACUGAGGCCAUGGGAGGAGUUGACCAAAUCGCCACCACCACCGACUGCUGGUCUGCAAGAAGACGGAGCUUCAUUGGUGUUACAGCCUACUGGAUAGACCCUGACAGUCUCAACAGAUGCACUGCAGCCCUGGCCUGUAAACGGUUGAGAGGAUCGCACACCUUUGAUGUGUUGGCAGGCGCCCUAAAUGACAUCCAUUCUGAGUUUGAAAUCCAGGGUAAGAUUGUGAGAACAACAACAGACAAUGGCUCUAACUUCUUGAAAGCUUUCCAACUUUUUGGAGAAAAUGAAAACAACAAGGCAGUGGAAGCAGUGGGUGGUGAAGCAGCUCAGCCAGGACAGGAAGAUGGUGAAGAGGAACAAGAGGAAAGUGAAGAAGUGGAGUUUGUUGAUGUGGCAACGAUCCUGAAUGAAGAUGAUGGUUUUGAGUACCAGCUGCCGAAGCAAUAGCGCUGUGCUUACCACAUACUCAACUUAGUAUCUACAGUCGAUGCCCUGAAAGUAACAUCCAGUGAGGCUUACAAAAAAGUGUCCUGUUUAACAUUUGGCAAGUGCCAAGCACUUCGGAACAAAUGCGGAAGAUCCACAUUUGCAACCGAAACGGUUGAAGAUGCUUGCGACCUCCAGCUGCUGCGCCCGAAUGCUACAAAGUGGAACUCCUGGUUCAUGGCUGUAGAAAGACUUCUGAGGAUCGUUAAAGACAAAGGAGAGGCGGCCGUCAGAGUUCUCUGCACACACUUCGAGGUUCCAAUAGUAUGCUGCCACCAUGAGCCCAGUCGCAAAGGCCAUCAACAUCCUGCAGGCUGAAACCAAUGUCCAGAUGGGGUGGCUACUUCCAACCUGCUGAUCACAAAACUUGACCGAAUCAAGUUGUCCCUGAAGUACUGUAAGCCUAUGGUGGAUGCGCUACAACUGGGACUGAAGAAGCGCUUCAGCCACGUUUCACGACCCUGAGCUGAUCGCAGCUGCAAUCCUUCUCCCCAAAUUCAAAACAACGUGGACAAACGAUGACGCCACCAUCAGAAUGGGAAUGGACUACAUCAAGGACCACCUGGAAGAACACUUGCUGCAGCUAGGUGAUGGCACCAGUUCAUCAGAUGAGGAGGACUUCUUCUCUGCCAUGAAGACGUCUCAAGCACAAGAAAGCUCCAAACAGCUGGACGGAUACCUGGCCUGUUCAACUGAUCAUAUGGAGUUGUUCAAGUCCUUCCCGGCAGUCUGUAAGCUGUCUCUGAGGCUAAACACACCCUUACCUGCAUCAGCUGCAUGUGAAAGGCUGUUCAGCAUUGCAGGACUUGUUUUCAGCCCCAGGAGAGCAAGGCUGUAUUCCAGAAACUUUGAAAACCAGCUUUUACUGAAGGUGAACCGUAAAUUCUUCAACUUCAAGUAAUGACAGCUUAACGCUAGCAAGCCCAAGGACACAGAUGCCUUAUGCUUUUUGUUAAUUGAUUCACAAGUUAUAGGUGUCCUUGUUACAAAGGCAUGACCUGACACACUGAUUUCUAAUACAGUUAUAUCAGUGGUGAUGACCUCAUAUUCCUACAGUGAGGUUGUGUGCAGUUCUGUACAUAUACUUUUGAUAAGCUCAUCAACAUUUUUUUUUUUAUGUAUAGGGUUCUAUUAUAGGAUGUGUUUUCUAAAGCAAAGUGGCUGUGAUUGUAAGUGCUUACAUUUACUGGCUAUAUUCCUUCAUGAUUAAGGCAUAAUUCUAUUCAGUCUGUAAGAGAUGUAUUUUGAAGUGUUGCCUAUUUGAGAAUCCACAUUCUUUUUUUUAUCUGAGCUCUUCUUGUAUCCGUAAGACUUUUACCUUUCAGAAAAGCUCAAACCAAAUAAA